rnacentral:rRNA from 1 species
AACGAACGCUGGCGGCAGGCCUAACACAUGCAAGUCGAGCGGUCCUUUCGGGGAUAGCGGCGGACGGGUGAGUAACGCGUGGGAACGUACCCUUUGCUACGGAAUAGCCCCGGGAAACUGGGAGUAAUACCGUAUGUGCCCUCUGGGGGAAAGAUUUAUCGGCAAAGGAUCGGCCCGCGUUGGAUUAGGUAGUUGGUGGGGUAAUGGCCUACCAAGCCGACGAUCCAUAGCUGGUUUGAGAGGAUGAUCAGCCACACUGGGACUGAGACACGGCCCAGACUCCUACGGGAGGCAGCAGUGGGGAAUCUUAGACAAUGGGGGCAACCCUGAGCUAGCCAUGCCGCGUGAGUGAUGAAGGCCCUAGGGUUGUAAAGCUCUUUCAGCUGGGAAGAUAAUGACGGUACCAGCAGAAGAAGCCCCGGCUAACUCCGUG